rnacentral:rRNA from 1 species
CCGCUUAACAUCGAGUGUUAAAUAUGCUAGUCCUUUCAUGAUUAUGUGAUAGGUGGUGCAUGGCCGUUCUUAGUUCGUGGAGUGAUCUGUCUGCUUAAUUGCGUUUCACUAAGGGCCCAUAAAUUCAAGGUAUGUUAGCUCUCGUCGCUCUAUGGACCCCUUAACUCCAAUAUUCUUAUUGUGUUAAGCGCGUGUCUUUAUUUUAAGAGUUUUAAGACACUGCGCAUG